rnacentral:rRNA from 1 species
AACGAACGCUGGCGGCAGGCCUAACACAUGCAAGUCGAGCGCCCCGCAAGGGGAGCGGCAGACGGGUGAGUAACGCGUGGGAAUCUACCCAUCUCUACGGAAUAACGCAUGGAAACGCGUGCUAAUACCGUAGACGUCCUUCGGGAGAAAGAUUUAUCGGAGAUGGAUGAGCCCGCGUUGGAUUAGCUAGUUGGUGGGGUAAAGGCCUACCAAGGCGACGAUCCAUAGCUGGUCUGAGAGGAUGAUCAGCCACACUGGGACUGAGACACGGCCCAGACUCCUACGGGAGGCAGCAGUGGGGAAUAUUGGACAAUGGGCGCAAGCCUGAUCCAGCCAUGCCGCGUGAGUGAUGAAGGCCCUAGGGUUGUAAAGCUCUUUCACCGGUGAAGAUAAUGACGGUAACCGGAGAAGAAGCCCCGGCUAACUUCGUGCCAGCCGCCGCAGUAACAC